UACGGAGGGUGCGAGCGUUAAUCGGAAUCACUGGGCGUAAAGCGCACGUAGGCGGCCAGAUAAGUCAGAUGUGAAAGCCCCGGGCUUAACCUGGGAAUGGCAUUUGAUACUGUCUGGCUAGAGUAUGGUAGAGGGGGGUGGAAUUCCAGGUGUAGCGGUGAAAUGCGUAGAGAUCUGGAGGAACACCGGUGGCGAAGGCGGCCCCCUGGACCAAUACUGACGCUGAGGUGCGAAAGCGUGGGGAGCAAACAGG
rnacentral:rRNA from 1 species